GGCCCCAUGGUGCCAUGGUAGCAUAUCUGACUCCAGAUCCGAAGGUUGUGUGUUCAAGUCACACUGGGGUCA
rfam:Alligator mississippiensis ScZkoYb_182, whole genome shotgun sequence.